rnacentral:rRNA from 1 species
CCAGACUCCUACGGGAGGCAGCAGUGGGGAAUAUUGCACAAUGGGGGGAACCCUGAUGCAGCGACGCCGCGUGAGUGAAGAAGUAUUUCGGUAUGUAAAGCUCUAUCAGCAGGGAAGAAAAUGACGGUACCUGACUAAGAAGCCCCGGCUAACUACGUGCCAGCAGCCGCGGUAAUACGUAGGGGGCAAGCGUUAUCCGGAUUUACUGGGUGUAAAGGGAGCGUAGACGGUUAUGCAAGUCUGAAGUGAAAGCCCAAGGCUCAACCAUGGGACUGCUUUGGAAACUGUAAAACUGGAGUGCAGGAGAGGUAAGCGGAAUUCCUAGUGUAGCGGUGAAAUGCUUAGAUAUCACGAAGAACUCCGAUUGCGAAGGCAGCCUACUAAACUGCCACUGACAUUGAAGCUCGAAAGUGUGGGUAUCAAACAGGAAUAGAUACCCUCGUAG